rnacentral:lncRNA from 1 species
GGUGAUACGGGCUAUUUUCUGACCCUGAUAUGGAGAGAGUACCCCUUCCAGAGGAAUCUUUAUUGUUUGCUGCAGGUAGAAAGAGAUAGGUCAGCUCAGCCUUUCUGAAAUUAUUUCUCUAAUGUUUUUAACUCAGAAUAAUCAACAUACCAAGUAGGCAUAUUUGGGGAUGGCACAUUGUUCACUCCUUUACUCUGAAGUUAUGUCUUUUCAGGGCUUGCAAAACAAUGACAGGACUAAAAAAAUGCUGAUAUUGUAAAAAACUUUUUUUCCCAGACUAUAGAUUUUGUGUAUAUAAUGAGUUGAUAAACUCUGAGAACAUCAAUUUUUAGUCAGAUUUGGUCAAAUUCAAAUUUACCUUGGUCACUUACUACUUGUGUGAUCACAGGAGCAGGACUUCAUUCCAUUAUCUAUUAAAUGGGGGACAAAGACACCUGCCAGUAGAAUUGUCAUGGAGAUGAAGGAUAAUGAUGGAUGCACAUGAAGCACAACCCAGUGCCUGGCACUUGAAAGGACAGAAUUGGAAAUACCGGUUAUAUUACUAAGACUCUGACUGGGAUACUAUAUUUGAGAAGAUACAAAGAACAUCUAGCUUCAAAGAUUCUCAGCCUCAUAGUGGCUCUCACUUCCUGGCAGGCCCAGGAACCUCAGGAUAUUUUGGAGAGCCCAAGACAAGAGGAAUUCACUAAAAUCUAUAGGUAUUGCAGGCAAAGUUUGAUGAUGAGUCCUUGGCUUGACAUUAUAGCUUUGAGAGGCUUUUAAAAGACAAAUCUGAUAUUUCUUAUAAAAAGAUUCAGGAAAGUAAACUUAAAGGGGCCAACAACAGCCAAGCUGAGAGGUAAAUCAGGAAGGCAAUCCCAUUCACAAUUGCCACUAAAAGAAUAAAAUACCUAGGAAUACAGGUAACCAGUAAGGUAAAAGAUCUCUACAAUGAGAAUUACAAAACAUGGCUCAAAGAAUCAGAAAAGACAAAGAAAUAGAAAAGCAUCCCAUGCUCAUGGAGAGGAUGAAUCAAUAUUAUCAAAAUUGCAUACUGCUCAAAGCAAUUUAUAUAUUCAAUGCUAUUCCUAUCAAACUACCAAUGACAUUCUUCAUAGAACUAGGAAAAACUAUUUUAAAAUUCAUAUGGAACCAAAAAAAAAAAAGCCUGAAUAGUCAAGGCAAUCAUAAACAAAAAGAACAAAGCUGGAUGCAUCAUGUUACCUGACUUCAAACCAUACUACAGGCUACAGUAACCAAAGCAGCAUGGUACUGGUACAAAAACAGGCACACAGACCAGUAGAACAGAAUAGAGAGCCCAGAAAUCAGGCUGCACACCUACAGCCAUCUGAUCUUCAACAAUGCUAAACAAAUAAGCAAUGGUAAAAGAUUUCCUAUUCAGUAAAUGGUGCUGGGAUAACUGGCUAGCCAUGUGCAGAAGAUUGAAGCUGUACCCCUUCCUUACACCAUAUACAAAAAUCAUAUCAAGAUGGAUUAAAGACUUAAAUGUAAAAAGCAAAAUUGUAAACUCUUGGAAGACAACCUAGGCAAUACCAUCCUGGACACAGGAAUGGGCAAAGAUUUUAUGACAAAGACAUUGAAAGCAAUCUUAACAAAACCAAAAAUUGACAAAUGGGAUCUAAUUAAACUUAAGAGCUUCUGCACAACAAAAGAAAUUAUUAGGAGAGUAAACAGUUAAUCUACAAAAUGGGAUAAAAUAUUUGCAAACUAUGCAUCUGACAAAGGUCAGAUUUAUAAGAAACAUAAUCAAAUUUACAAGAAAAACAAACAAUCCCAUUAAAAAGUGGGCAAAGGACAUGAACAGACACUUCUCAAAAUAAGACAUACAUGUGGCUGACAAGCUUAUGAAAAACAGCUCAAUAUCACUGAGAAUUAGAGAAAUGCAAAUCAAAGCCACAGUGAGAUACCAUCUCACACCAGUCAGAAUGGCUAUUGUUAGAAAGUCAUAAAAUAACAGAUGCUGGUGAGGUUGCGGAGAAAAGGAAACACUUAGAUACUGAUGGUGGGAGUGUAAAUUAGCUCAACAAUUGUGGAAAGGAGAAUGGCGAUCCUCCAAAGGGCUAAAAGCAGAACUACCAUUAAGCCCAGCAAUCCCUUUACUGGGUGUAUACCCAGAGGAAUAUAAAUCAUUCUACCAUAAAGGCACAUGCACGUGAAUGCUCACUGCAGCACUAUUCACAAUAGCAAAGACAUGGAAUCAACCUAAAUGUCCAUCGAUGACACAUUGGAUAAAGAAAAUGUGGUACAUAUACAUCAUGGAAUACUAUACAGCCAUGAAAAAGAACAAGAUCAUGUUUUGAAGGAGCAUGGAUGGAGCACGAGGCUAUUAUCUUUAGCAAAUUAACACAGGAAUAGAAUACCAAAUAACACAUAUUCUCACUUAUAAGUGAGAGCUGAAUGAUGAGAACUCAUGAAUACAAAGAAGGGAAAAACAGAACCUGGGGUCUACUUGAGGGUGGAGGGUGGGAGGAGGGAGAGGAGAAGAAAAUGUAACUAUUGGGUACUAGGCUUAAUACCUGGCUCAUGAAAUAAUCUGUAAAACAAACCGCUGUGACACAAGUUUACUUAUAUAGCAUGUACCCCUAAACCUAAAACAAGUUUAAAAAAAAAAAAAAUAAGGAUUUGCUUCAUAGUUGUAUCAGAAGUCUUCAACGUGAAAAAGGGGCCUAUAUUGUCAAUCACUAUUUUUGCUGUGCUUACAUAAUCAGGCAAAGUAUGAUGAGAGUAAAUUUAUUUUUAUAAACAAAUUAGUCUUACUUUGAUUAACUCAGGUAGAAAUUGGGGUGACUAUAGAGAUAAAAAGUACGUUUCUAAAAAAACUAUAGUAUACUUGUUAUUGGAUUAUAGCUCUAUUCAUUGUUUGUUUAUUUGUUUAUUUAUUUAUUUAUUUUGAGAAAGAGUCUCACUCUGUCACCCAGGCUGGAGUGCAGUGGUGCGAUCUCAGCUCACUGCAACCUCUGCCUCCCAGGCUUAAGCGAUUUGCUUACCUCAGCUUCCUGAGUAGCUGGGAUUACAGGUGCCCGCCAUCACAUCUGGCUAAUUUUUGUAUUUUUAGUAGAGAUGGGGUGUUGCCAUGUUGGCCAGGCUGGUCUUGAACUCCUGAGCUCAGGUAAUCUGCUCAUCUCAGACUCCCAAAGUGCUGGGAUGACAGGCGUGAGCCACCAAGCCUGGCUGUUUUUGAAUUUUUAUUAUCUACCUGUAGAUUGGACUGGAUCCUCAAACUUUUCUUGUUCCCUUCAAUAUCUGGCUUCCACUAGUGACAAGAACAGUUCUGUUCUUGAAGCCCUAUAAUCUGGAGCCCGACAAGUCAACAUCAUUUUCUAGGGGCAACUUUGUGCCUUGAGAGUUCACUGAAAUGACAAAUGCCACAACCAGAGACCUUCAUACUGCAAACAGGAUGAGAAGUUGACAACUUCAAGUUGUGGACAGCUUUUCCCAAGACAUAAGAAUAAGAUUCAUCAUCAUGAGACUCUUACCCCUCUUAAUUAUUUUCCUUUCCUAUGUUUCCCUCUUUUGCUUGGAAGUAUAAUACUGUCAUUAAAGUCUCACAAUUAGUAGCUUCUGUGGGUAACUUGAGGGAGUGUUGAAUCUCUCAUGCCAAACCCAAAUCUUUACAUUAUGUAAGAGAUCCUUUAGUCCACCCAUGAGCUCACUUUAGCAACAUUCCUAACAUAACUGCUCAAAUUGCACUACUGCUCCCUUUUAUGGGAUCAGAUUCUAGACCUAUUUGUUCUCACUCUGUGUUUUAAUUUAACCUAGUCAUGGAAUACUAAAUAAUACUUUCCUGAAAUUAGCAUAUUUGCAGCAACCAAUUAGAAAGGGCCCAUUUGACCUAAGCCAGUGUAAUUAUGAAGUCCUCUUUGCUUUAACUCUUAAAAGCAACUGAAGUAAUCUUAUGUUAACCAAUCUGUUUUUGUUUUUUAUCCCGUUUACUUGUCCCAACCUUAUAAAAAUCAACAGUGCUGCCAUGCCCAGAGCAGCACUUCAUCUAUUUUAUGGAAUGAGAUGCUAUAAUGAAUGAGAACUCAGGAAGAGAACCCAUAAAGUUGUUUAUGAACUUCUGGGCUGACUUCAACCUGCAUAUGCAUGAAUCUGGUUCUAGUCAGCAUACCAAAGAGUUUGGAGAACUGAGCUAAUGCAUAGGUUAUUAUAUAGGUCCCAGACUGACAACUGAGUAGUGUACACAAGGGACAAAUCCAAAUAGUACUGAGCCACUGCAAAAACUUUGAAAUUGAACUGAAGCAGUAACUAUAUGCUAUAGAAGAUGGGUAGAAAUUUGCAGCCUGAACUUUUGUUUUAACAAGUAGAUUGCCUGCAAAACCAAAAAUAUCAACAUUUUCCAUAGGAUUUAAGUAAAACCCAGAGUCCUAUAACAUAAUAAUCAAAAUAUCCAGGAUACGAUAGAAAAUAUAUAUGUGAAGAGAGAUGAAAAUGUCAACUUUGAUGGGAAAAUACAAUCAACAGAUGCCUACAAUCAGAUGAUGUAGAUGUUGGAAUUAUCUGACAGGGAUAUUAAAGCAGCUAUUUUUAAAUUGCUCAAAUGUAUAAUCAU